rnacentral:rRNA from 1 species
UGGGGAAUAUUGGACAAUGGGCGAAAGCCUGAUCCAGCCAUGCCGCGUGUGUGAAGAAGGUCUUCGGAUUGUAAAGCACUUUAAGUUGGGAGGAAGGGCAGUAAGCGAAUACCUUGCUGUUUUGACGUUACCGACAGAAUAAGCACCGGCUAACUCUGUGCCAGCAGCCGCGGUAAUACAGAGGGUGCAAGCGUUAAUCGGAAUUACUGGGCGUAAAGCGCGCGUAGGUGGUUCGUUAAGUUGAAUGUGAAAGCCCCAGGCUCAACCUGGGAACUGCAUCCAAAACUGGCGAGCUAGAGUAGGGCAGAGGGUGGUGGAAUUUCCUGUGUAGCGGUGAAAUGCGUAGAUAUAGGAAGGAACACCAGUGGCGAAGGCGACCACCUGGGCUCAUACUGACACUGAGUUGCGAAAGCGUGGGGAGCAAACAGG